CCCUUAGAUGUUCUGGGCCGCACGCGCGCUACACUGACGAAUGCAACGAGCUUAUAACCUUGGCCGAAAGGUCUGGGUAAUCUCCAAAUUUCGUCGUGAUGGGGAUAGAUUAUUGCAAUUAUUAAUCUUCAACGAGGAAUGCCUAGUAAGCGCAAGUCAUCAGCUUGCGUUGAUUACGUCCCUGCCCUUUGAACACACCGCCCGUCGCUCCUACCGAUUGAAUGGUCCGGUGAAGCGUUCGGACCGUGGCCUUUGGACGGUUCGCCGUCUGUUGGCUGCGGGAAGUUCGUUAAACCUUAUCAUUUAGAGGAAGGAGAAGUCGUAACA
rnacentral:rRNA from 1 species